UGGUUUGCUUUCAUGGUAUUUACUGGUUUG
rnacentral:piRNA from 1 species